GGCGGCGUAGCUCAGUUGGCUAGAGCAUACGGUUCAUACCCGUAGUGUCGUUGGUUCGAUCCCGACCGCCGCUACCA
rnacentral:tRNA from 1 species